GAUUCUGUGCUUUAAGGCUGGUCUGAAGGAUGAAAAGGAAACUGGUAAAUUCGUGUCGUCUCUGGUGAGGAAGCAACUGGGACGUAUCUAUGCUGUAAAGUACGAUCCUAACAUGAAUGUCCUUUACGUGGCCAGUAUGUUGUCUGGACGAGGUUUUGGCAGUACCAUCGGCUUACUGAACGGUGAAGUUAUUGCUACCUGGCACACCGGAAGAAACAUGAACAACAAAGCUAUGCCCCACGACAUUGCUGUUGCACCGAACGGACGUGCGGUCUACGUCACGGACAUCCUCAACGAAGACAACCCACUCUUCAAACUCCAGUAUUAAUGAUGACGCCAUUUUUAUUUUGGGGUUAAUUCAUCAUUGGUUGAAUUUAGUUACUAUUUAGAUUACUAUUAAUUAGAAGUUAAUUAUAGUUCUGAUCUCUACCUGUACCUUAUCAGGUGAGAGAAGGGGAAGUAAUUAUGGCGGUGAUGGGGAAACAAUAUAAUAAAUAAAUAAAUAAAAAAA